rnacentral:rRNA from 1 species
CCGUAAGGUGAACCUGCGGAAGGAUCAUUACCGAGUGCGGGCCCUCGCGGCCCAACCUCCCACCCUUGUCUCUAUACACCUGUUGCUUUGGCGGGCCCACCGGGGCCACCUGGUCGCCGGGGGACGCACGUCUCCGGGCCCGCGCCCGCCGAAGCGCUCUGUGAACCCUGAUGAAGAUGGGCUGUCUGAGUACUGUGAAAAUUGUCAAAACUUUCAACAAUGGAUCUCUUGGUUCCGGCAUCGAUGAAGAACGCAGCGAAAUGCGAUAAGUAAUGUGAAUUGCAGAAUUCCGUGAAUCAUCGAAUCUUUGAACGCACAUUGCGCCCCCUGGCAUUCCGGGGGGCAUGCCUGUCCGAGCGUCAUUUCUGCCCUCAAGCACGGCUUGUGUGUUGGGUGUGGUCCCCCCGGGGACCUGCCCGAAAGGCAGCGGCGACGUCCGUCUGGUCCUCGAGCGUAUGGGGCUCUGUCACUCGCUCGGGAAGGACCUGCGGGGGUUGGUCACCACCAUGUUUUACCACGGUUGACCUCGGAUCAGGUAGGAGUUACCCGCUGAACUUAAGCAUAUCAAUAAGCGGAGGG